ACGGUGAUGAGGAGCUUGCUUCUUUGAUCAGUGGCGAACGGGUGAGUAACACGUGAGCAAUCUGCCCUUGACUCUGGGAUAACUGCGGGAAACUGUAGCUAAUACCGGAUACGACCUUCGGAGGCAUCUCUGGGGGUGGAAAGAAUUUUGGUCAAGGAUGAGCUCGCGGCCUAUCAGCUAGUUGGUGAGGUAAUGGCUCACCAAGGCGACGACGGGUAGCCGGCCUGAGAGGGUGACCGGCCACACUGGGACUGAGACACGGCCCAGACUCCUACGGGAGGCAGCAGUGGGGAAUAUUGCACAAUGGGCGCAAGCCUGAUGCAGCAACGCCGCGUGAGGGACGAAGGCCUUCGGGUUGUAAACCUCUUUUAGUAGGGAAGAAGUGACUGGGUUUUCCUGGAAGUGACGGUACCUGCAGAAAAAGCACCGGCUAACUACGUGCCAGCAGCCGCGGUAAUACGUAGGGUGCAAGCGUUGUCCGGAAUUAUUGGGCGUAAAGAGCUCGUAGGCGGUUUGUUGCGUCUGCUGUGAAAACCCGAGGCUCAACCUCGGGCCUGCAGUGGGUACGGGCAGACUAGAGUGCGGUAGGGGAGAUUGGAAUUCCUGGUGUAGCGGUGGAAUGCGCAGAUAUCAGGAGGAACACCAAUGGCGA
rnacentral:rRNA from 1 species